rnacentral:rRNA from 1 species
CUGAGUACGGCGGAACACGUGAAAUUCCGUCGGAAUCCGGGAGGACCAUCUCCCAAGGCUAAAUACUCCCUAGUGACCGAUAGUGAACCAGUACCGUGAGGGAAAGGUGAAAAGCACCCCGGAAGGGGAGUGAAACAGUUCCUGAAACCGUGUGCCUACAAGUAGUUAGAGCCCGUUAAUGGGUGAUAGCGUGCCUUUUGUAGAAUGAACCGGCGAGUUACGAUUUGUUGCAAGGUUAAGCGGAAAAAGCGGAGCCGUAGCGAAAGCGAGUCUGAAUAGGGCGCAUAAGUAACAGGUCGUAGACCCGAAACCAGGUGAUCUACCCAUGUCCAGGAUGAAGGUAAGGUAAUACUUACUGGAGGUCCGAACCCACGCACGUUGAAAAGUGCGGGGAUGAGGUGUGGGUAGCGGAGAAAUUCCAAUCGAACUUGGAGAUAGCUGGUUCUCUCCGAAAUAGCUUUAGGGCUAGCCUCGAGGUAAAGAGUCAUGGAGGUAGAGCACUGUUUGGACUAGGGGCCCUUCUCGGGUUACCGAAUUCAGAUAAACUCCGAAUGCCAUGUACUUAUACUCGGGAGUCAGACUGCGAGUGAUAAGAUCCGUAGUCGAAAGGGAAACAGCCCAGACCACCAGUUAAGGUCCCCAAAUAUAUGUUAAGUGGAAAAGGAUGUGGGGUUGCUUAGACAACCAGGAUGUUGGCUUAGAAGCAGCCACCAUUGAAAGAGUGCGUAAUAGCUCACUGGUCGAGUGACCCCGCGCCGAAAAUGUACCGGGGCUAAACAUAUUACCGAAACUGUGGAUGAACCUCUUUAGAGGUUCGUGGUAGGAGAGCGUUCUAAGGGCGGUGAAGUCAGACCGGAAGGACUGGUGGAGCGCUUAGAAGUGAGAAUGCCGGUAUGAGUAGCGAAAGAAGGGUGAGAAUCCCUUCCACCGAAUAUCUAAGGUUUCCUGAGGAAGGCUCGUCCGCUCAGGGU